UAAACUGUACUGAAUACGGUAGCGUGUUCAACUAAACUGCUAAUUAAAUUGAAAUUUAAAAAUAUAUAAAGAAAAACGUUCAAAAUUCGGUUCAUUUUGUUUAAAAAGUUCAAAGAAUGGUAAAGUUUGCAAGUUUUCUUGUAGUUGUUUGUUCCAUUGCUUCUGUAACAGCUGUCAAAGUAACAAAACCAACAAUAAAACCAACAACAAAACAACUGUCUUCUGGUAACAAUUGUAUGAGCUCAUAUUAUAAAUGUGAAGCCUCAAGUUUUUCAAAUUGGCUUCAAAAUAUUGUCUGCGUAAUCAAACUUGGUGAUUGCUUAAACAAUGUUUGCUCUGCUGAAAAAUGUCUCAAAGAUUGGAAGAAUUGUGUUAUUAAAGUUCGAAAAUUCGAUGAUCUUAAAAUGUGUUGUAAUUCGCUGAAGAAAUGCAUCCCAGAUAAUUGUGCUUUAAAUUAAAAAAGUUUUAUUAACCAAUUGCCCACAUAUUACUACAAUUAUUUUUUUUAUUCAUUUUAUAUUCUUGUUACAUUCAGUUUAUAUUUUUGAGAACAUAAAAUAUAAAAAAGGAGUUCUUAUGAUUUCUUAUGGUUCAGUUUAUAUUCUUGUUAUAAUUAGUUUAUAUUUUUAAGAAUGUUAAAUGGGAUUAUUUUGUGAUAUAAAAAGAACUACAUUUUAUAGAGUUUUCACGUUAGUUAAA